UGUGACCGUAUCUCCUAAACACUGCUGACACUGUGACCGUAUUUCCUAAACACUGCUGACACUGUGACCGUAUUUCCUAAACACUGCUGACACUGUGACCGUAUUUCCUAAACACUGCUGACACUGUGACCGUAUUUCCUAAACACUGCUGACACUGUGACCGUAUCUCCUAAACACUGCUGACACUGUGACCGUAUCUCCUAAACACUGCUGACACUGUGAC
rnacentral:lncRNA from 1 species